AUGGCGAUUGGCUUGCCAUCCACUGAUCAUUUCGUGCUCCUCACCAUCCUCAUCUGCCUCCUCCUCCAUCAUUGCAGUGCAGUCUAUGAUGUCGAGUCAACCGCUGAGUCGGGGAAGCUGAUAUCGGCCCAGCUAAAGCUCGUCGGUGGGUCGACAGAAUUUGGUCCUGAUGUGAAGAGUCUCACCCUAACCGCAAGUCUUGAGACGGAUAGCCGGCUACGCGUGCGCAUCACCGAUGCUGACCAUCGGCGAUGGGAGGUCCCCCAAGACGUCAUCCCACGCCCGGCACCAGGGCCAGAACCAAAGGACGUUUUGCUCGACUCACCAGGCAAUCCAUCCAUGCCGACCAACAGCACCAUGUCCAGCGCGUCUUCCGACCUGACCUUCACCAUCCACCCCAGCCCGUUCCGCUUCACGGUCUCCCGUCGCUCCACCGGGGACACCCUCUUUGACACUUCCGCCAACCUUGUCUUCAAGGACCGGUACUUGGAGGUGACAUCGGCGCUGCCGGCUGACCGAGCAUCCCUGUAUGGGCUCGGCGAGCAGAAAAAACAGACGUUCCGGCUACAACACAAUGACACUUUCACGCUGUGGAACGGGGACGUGACGUGGUCCGACCAACCGGACCUCAACCUCUAUGGCUCGCACCCGUUUUACAUGGACGUGCGCUCCGGCGGUGCCGCGCAUGGCGUGCUCCUCCUGAACAGCAAUGGGAUGGACAUACUGUACGGCGGAUCCUACGUCACCUACAAGGUGAUCGGUGGCGUGCUAGACUUCUACUUCUUCGUCGGUCCCUCCCCGCUCGACGUCGUGGACCAGUACACACAGCUCAUCGGCCGCCCUGCCCCCAUGCCCUACUGGUCAUUCGGGUUCCACCAGUCUAGGUAUGGCUACAAGAACGUGGCUGAUCUGGAUGGCGUGGUCGCCGGCUACGCCAAGGCCAGGAUCCCACUGGAGGCGAUCUGGUCGGACAUCGACUACAUGGACGGUUACCAGGACUUCACGCUGGAUCCGGUGAACUACCCGUCCAAGCAGCUCCGGCCAUUCGUGGACCGGCUCCACAACAAUGGCCAGAAAUACGUGGUCACCGUACACCCGGCUAUCAAACGGCAAGCAGCACCUCACGAGGACUUGUUCCUCAAGCGAAACGGCGCCAACCUGGUAGGCGAGGCGUGGCCAGGCGAGGUCUACUUCCUGGACUUCAUGAGCCCACGUAGCACCCAGUACUGGGCACGAAAGAUCUCUGAGUUUCGGCGGACCAUCCCUGUGGAUGGGCUCUGGUGCGACAUUAACGAGCCCUCCAACUUCAAGCAGUGGCAGCCUCUCAAUCAGUUGGACGACCCGCCCUACCGCAUCAACAACUCCGGCUUCCACCUUCCCAUCAACUACAGGACUGUGCCGGUCUCAACGGUGCACUACAACGGCGUGUCCGAGUACGACGCGCACAAUCUCUUCGGCCUCCUCCAGGCGCAGGCCACGCACGCCGGGCUGCUCAGGGACACCACACGCCGCCCCUUCGUGCUCAGCCGCUCUACCUUUGUCGGCUCCGGCCGUUACGCCGCGCACUGGGCCGGCAACAAUGUCGCGCGGUGGGACGAGCUUGCGCAAUCCAUCAACACCAUCCUCAACUUUGGCCUCUUCGGCAUCCCAAUGAUGGGCGCCGACAUCUGUGGCUUCAACGGCAACACCACCCAGGAGCUCUGCAGCCGCUGGAUUCAGCUUGGCGCAUUCUACCCGUUCGCCAGGGCCCACGCAGAGAAGACAACCCUCCGGCGAGAGCUCUAUGUGUGGGAGCCGACGGCACGGUCGGCGAGGAAAGCGUUGGGGAUGCGCUAUCGGCUACUGCCCUACAUGUACACGCUAAUGUACGAGGCGCACAUGACGGGGGCGCCCAUCGCGCGGCCACUCUUCUUCUCCUACCCGCAGGAUGCCGACACCUAUGGCGUGGACAGG
rnacentral:rRNA from 1 species